GGUGAGAUGGCCGAGUGGUUAUGGCGCUGCGUUCAGGAUAACCUGAAUCUUCAGCGAUACUGCAGUAUCGCUGGAACAGUUUCGCAGUGGAGCAAUCCGCGUGGGUUCGAGUCCCACUCUCAUCA
rnacentral:tRNA from 1 species